ensembl:lncRNA
GAGGCUUUUGUUCUGCUGGCCAUGCUGUGUCACUGAGCUUCUGGUUCACCUUCCUUUGCAGAGCCACCUACCCUUGCUGUUCCCUCUGUAUCACUCAGCAGUGACUUUCUUCACUAACUUCAUAUUUAUUUGGUUGGGAAAAUACAUGGAACCCACAGCUGACCUUAUUCUGCUUCAGAUCAGUGGUUACUAUCACAUAUAAUUGCUUUAAGUAGAAGAGUUCCACAGAGGAUGCGAAUCAAGCCCUGCAAGAAGGGUGAAACACAGGGUUUUGAUAUUUCUCUGAACAGUUUCAGAAUUUUAUGAGUGCAAUGUAGGAACAAAAAACAGUACAGAAAAAACUGUACUCAGCCUACUGUGAAUCUGUGUUAUAGUGUCCUUGCUAUUUAGUCUGGAAUUUUACAGGCAAAAUGAAUUCUUAUGGCAUCAGUUUUCAAAGAGCAUUUUAAUUGUUCAUCAUUAGAUGUAAAAAAUCAUAUAUUAAACACAAACUUCAAUUUUUUUUUGAUAUGUCUGUAGGGAAAAAAAAACAAAAACAAAAUACGAAGCUUUCGUCUGAAUGAUAUAUUGUCAUAACGUUUUAGUGUCUGCCACAUACUUGGAAUGUUAUGAAGGCUGAAUGCUCAGAGUGUCAACUAUUGUUUUGAAAUAUGUGUAUAAUAUAUAAUUAAGAAAUUGCAUUUUUUUUAAAUCAACAUAUUAGCUUAAUAUUCCAUGUAUGACUCAGAUGUUCAGAAACACUACUAGCUAUAACUGAAUUCUACCCCUUCUAAUGGUUCAUUGCCCAUUACUCUGACUUGAUUAUGAGUCUAAUAUACACAUAAGUGCUUAUUAUGUGCAUCUUUGGAAGAUUCUGCUUUAUACCUUAUUCAAAUUACUGUCAGACUGAACAAGCAUUACAAUCCUGUUAGAAAUUAGAUUUCUACUUAUUUUCUUCAUUUGUUUAUAUUGUUUUUAAAUUGGCAAUGAUAUUACUAGCUACAGUGGUUAGUUGUUUAUGAAACUGCAUUAAAACAGGGCUGAAAAGGUAGAGUUUUUAGUCUUUUUUUGUCUGGCUGGACAUCUGGUGUCCAUUAACAACCAAACAUUGUGAUGGGUUAUUCAUCUGUGCUGAUAUUGCACAAAGGAUUUUGCCACCUGUUCGAUUUUUAUUUACUGCUUUAUUUAGAGAGAGCUUAUAUACUUUCGAGUUAAAUGUGAAGGACAUAAUAUCAAAAUGUGUAUUUCAGCA